UGGAGGAGGAAAGAGGUAAGAAGAAAAUGGUGACAAGCUGGACAGCUAACAGAAGGGUGAAGUUAGGAGGCCUGAAGUCAAGCCACUAGCAUCAUUAUCCAAAAGUUAUUUUUGGGGAGAAAUAACAACAUUUUCAAAACUAAUUGAACUAGAGACCAUGUUUAGGUUGGAAAUACCCACUCGGUCACUUCAACUAGGAUGUUUUGGCAACACAUCUGUCCCUUACUGGUUUGGUGAAUGCUCUGAUGAUAUCUGUAAUACUAGGCACCACAGAGUUUAUGGGCUCUGUGGUAGAUGCAGACAUCGAUGAAAUUGAGGAGAACAGGAAAGAAACUUACUUUAUCAGGAUGAAACUCAUAUGACUCUUGGCUUGGGUAGUCAGCCCCUGGACUGUUGCCCGUUCCAG
rnacentral:lncRNA from 1 species